rnacentral:rRNA from 12 species
UUGAGAGUUUGAUCCUGGCUCAGAACGAACGCUGGCGGCAGGCUUAACACAUGCAAGUCGAGCGGUAACAGGGGUAGCUUGCUACCCGCUGACGAGCGGCGGACGGGUGAGUAAUGCAUAGGAAACUGCCCAGUAGUGGGGGAUAGCCCGGGGAAACCCGGAUUAAUACCGCAUACGUCCUUCGGGAGAAAGCAGGGGAUCUUCGGACCUUGCGCUAUUGGAUGUGCCUAUGUCGGAUUAGCUGGUUGGUGAGGUAAUGGCUCACCAAGGCGACGAUCCGUAGCUGGUCUGAGAGGAUGAUCAGCCACAUCGGGA